rnacentral:lncRNA from 1 species
AGGCUAUGUGGGGGUGACCAAUGCAGCCCAGGAAUUCAAGAUCAAUCCAGGCAACACAGCAAGCAAGGCCAAACAAGCCUAUCACUCCUGGCUGACCGCUAAUUGUACUGAGAUUAAACAUCGGCACCAGUCGGGGAUAUCCUGGCCCAUCAGCAGGGACCUCCAUGAAUAUCACAGUAUAUGAUUACACCUGCCCUACCUUAGGGGUGUUCAUCUUUUACUGUGUCUAGUUCACAAGUUAAGCUCUACCAUACUUCCCUUAGGAUACACAUUUGCCUGUUCAGUUUUCAAUCUGACAUUUCUGAAUAUUUCACCUUUGAACACUUGUGUAUGUGUCAUGAAAGUUCUUCUGUCCUUCAACAUGUGUGAUCCUCUCACUCUUAUCAAGAUACAGCCUUGGAAGACUCAGCCAGCAGUGGUGAGCCUCAGUGGACACCAGCUCCUACAAUCUAUCCCGUGCCCCCACUUAUGGCUCUUGGCUGAUUCAAGAAUCCUGAGCCCUGGCUGGAUUCUAAGCUGCCAACUGCACCUGCAGAAACCGGAUGUGCAAGACCUGUAAGACAGUAGUUUUGAAGAAUACAACACAAAAAACCAAAGUGAUUGCAUUUGUCAAUCCAGCUUAUGUAAGAGGUAGCAAUGAACAAGUGAAGUCACAGGGUGCAGUCACAAUGCGACUGGAGUCCUCUCAGGAAGAGACCCUGCCAGCUCAUUCUCCCUGUGUGCAUGCAGGCUGACCCAGAAAGCCCUGUGACAGUGAAAAGGAGAGGCAGAAAAGACAACAGGAGGUUCACUACCAACAUGGCAACAGCAAUGGUACUAGCGCUUAGACUUUAUGGCACCCACUGACACCAUGGCGGCAAGAAUCAACAUGAGAAGCUGGACUGGGCAGACGGGCAUCGUGGUUGCUGUUUUCAGGUCCUGAGCUGACACUGGACUGACUUUCAGAGACAACGACUUACAGCACUUGUCAGUGUGGACUCUGCGGUGGCCUCAGCACUGUUGCUGUUCUGUCUGGAGGAGGACGGUGGGAGCCAGGAGCAGCUGAUCGGCCUGUGGGGCCACAGUGGGGACAGCUUGCAUGGCUUCUCACUGACGAAAAUGUUACUCUGAGGCAUGUGCCCCACUUAAGAGAAGGGCAGGGAUGCGGAGGAAGUCCGGGAUACUACAUAGGCCUGAAAUCUUUGCGACUGAUCCAGGUCACUGCCUGCCUGGCCAGGGGAGUUAGAGAAGAACAGAAAGGCCUUUAAAGAAUUUUGGACCAAGAGAGGCAGAGCCAAAGAAAGGUGGUAGUGGUUGGCAUGCCAAGAAGAGAAUGUUGGGUAAACCAAGGCAAUAGCAAAUCUGUUGAGAUGUGGUAUGUGGGACCUCCAGAAUGAAGAAGGUACAGAGGAGAGGGCCUUGGGCACCCACGGCUCAUGUCAAGGCUCCAUGUACACAGAGGAAAAGCCUGGAGAGUCAUGGUGGAUAACAUACCCAUCAGCAAACCGAGAGAUGAUCAUGAUGGGCCCGAAGGACUCCUCCUUAGCGAUGUACAUGUGGUCCUCCACGUCUGUGAAAACGGUUGGCUGAAAGAAGAAGCCUGUAGGGAGACAGUGGCCCAACGCAUGUCAGAGGUGUAAGUCCCUGACUGUCUCUUUCCUGCCCUGGCCAGGGCCUGGCUCACACGGCACUCUGUUCAUUCUGGUUCUAACCACUGCACUAUAGACCCAAGCACCUCAUCCUCUCCCUUCCAGUAAAAAUGGCCAAAAAGAGUCACCCCUG